rnacentral:lncRNA from 1 species
UUCGCUGCAGCCAGCGGGUCCCACCCGUAACUGGCUCGUGCCAGGCAGGCAGGCAGGCACGCGAGUCUCCGGUUCUCUUGGGCGUUGGAACCGAGGCGACGAGCGCAUCGUAUGGACCGCGCCGCUGCGCCCACCUGGCCUCCGGGCCCUCCGGCCCCCCGCCACCACCACCACCACCUCCGGCGUAUAAAGGCCCGGCCCACGGAGGGAACGGGCGGUGCUCCCCUCGCCUGUCCCAACAUUAACCCUCGCGUCGCCCGCGGCCUCUCCCUCCCUCCCUCCCCCCCCUCCGCGACCACCAGCGCCCUCCCUAUUCCCGUCUCUAGCGCGAACCGCGGGGCGUCCUCCAAACAAUGGCGGCGGCGGCGGCGGCGGCGGAGAUGGUGCGGGGGUUCGCCGCGACGGCGCGCGUGGCCAGGCCGGCCGCGACGGUNNNNN